rnacentral:rRNA from 1 species
AACGAACGCUGGCGGCGCGUCUAAAACAUGCAAGUCGAACGGCAGGACGGGGAUUGCUCCCUCUGAGAGUGGCGGACUGGCGAGUAACUCGUGGGUGACAUACCUUUUAGUUGGGGAUAGCUAUUAGAAAUAGUAGGUAAUACCGAAUAUGACAGUACAUGUUCGAGGGGUACCAGGAAAGGAGCUAAGGCUUCGCUAAAAGAAUGGCUCGCGGCCCAUUAUGCUCGUUGGUGAGGUAACGGCCCACCAAGGCGAUGACGGGUAGCCGGCCUGAGAGGGUGAACGGACACAUUGGGACUGAGACACGGCCCAGACUUCUACGGGAGGCAGCAGUUAAGAAUAUUCCGCAAUGGACGAAAGUCUGACGGAGCGACGCCGCGUGGAUGAAGAAGGCCUAAAGGUUGUAAAAUCCUUUUAAGCCUGAUGAAUAAGCACAGUAGGAAAUGAUUGUGCGGUGACGGUAGCGAUUGAAUAAGCACCGGCUAAUUACGUG